rnacentral:rRNA from 1 species
AACGAACGCUGGCGGCAGGCCUAACACAUGCAAGUCGAGCGGACCUUUCGGGGUCAGCGGCGGACGGGUGAGUAACGCGUGGGAAUAUGCCCUUCUCUACGGAAUAGUCCUGGGAAACUGGGGGUAAUACCGUAUACGCCCUUUGGGGGAAAGAUUUAUCGGGGGAGGAUUAGCCCGCGUUGGAUUAGGUAGUUGGUGGGGUAAUGGCCUACCAAGCCGACGAUCCAUAGCUGGUUAGAGAGGAUGAUCAGCCACACUGAGACUGGGACGCGGCCCAGACUCCUACGGGAGGCAGCAGUGGGGAAUCUUAGACAAUGGGGGCAACCCUGAUCUAGCCAUGCCGCGUGAGUGAUGAAGGCCUUAGGGUUGUAAAGCUCUUUCAGCUGGGAAGAUAAUGACGGUACCAGCAGAAGAAGCCCCGGCUAACUCCGUG